GACGAACGCUGGCGGCGUGCUUAACACAUGCAAGUCGAACGGAAAGGCCCUGCUUUUGUGGGGUGCUCGAGUGGCGAACGGGUGAGUAACACGUGAGUAACCUGCCCUUGACUUUGGGAUAACUUCAGGAAACUGGGGCUAAUACCGGAUAGGAGCUCCUGCUGCAUGGUGGGGGUUGGAAAGUUUCGGCGGUUGGGGAUGGACUCGCGGCUUAUCAGCUUGUUGGUGGGGUAGUGGCUUACCAAGGCUUUGACGGGUAGCCGGCCUGAGAGGGUGACCGGCCACAUUGGGACUGAGAUGCGGCCCAGACUCCUACGGGAGGCAGCAGUGGGGAAUAUUGCCCAAUGGGCCGAAGCCUGAUGCAGCAACGCCGCGUGCGGGAUGACGGCCUUCGGGUUGUAAACCGCUUUCGCAUGUGACGAAGCGUGAGUGACGGUAAUGGGUAAAGAAGCACCGGCUAACUACGUG
rnacentral:rRNA from 1 species